rnacentral:rRNA from 1 species
AUACCCUAUUAUUAGAAUUGUGAAUUAAAAGCUUGAUUAUUAUUAGUGAAGAUCUAUAAAAUUAAAAAAUUUGGCGGUAUUUUAGUCUAUUCAGAGGAACCUGUUCUAUAAACGAUAAUCCACGAGUUAAUUAACUUUAUUUAUAAAUUUGUAUAUCGUUGUGGUUAGAUUAUUUUAGAAGAAUAAUAAUAGUCGAGGAUUAUUUUAUUAAAAAAUUCAGAUCAAGGUAUAGUUUAUAAUAAAGAAGAAAUGGGUUACAAUUUUAAAUAAAAUAGGAUUUAUAAUUAAAAAUUAUAAUGAAUUUGGAUUUGAUUGUAAUUUUUAAAAAAUUUUAAAAAUGAUUAUAGCUCUAAAAUAUGUACAUAUCG